GACGAGCCUCACAAACGUUAUUCGGAAUUACUGGGCUUAAAGGGUGCGUACGCGGCGCGGAAAGUUGGGUGUGAAAUCCCUCGGCUCAACCGAGGAACUGCGCCCAAAACUACCGUGCUCGAGGAAGAUAGAGGUGAGCGGAACUUACGGUGGAGCGGUGAAAUGCGUUGAUAUCGUAAGGAACACCCGUGGCGAAGGCGAAUCCCUGGAAAAUACCUGACACUGAGGCACGAAAGCUAGGGGAGCAAACAGG
rnacentral:rRNA from 1 species